rnacentral:lncRNA from 1 species
GGCUCAGCCUCCCGAGUAGCUGGGACUACAGGCGCCCGCCACCACGCCCAGCUAAUUUUUUUGUAUUUUAGGUAGAGAUGGGGUUUCACCGUGUUAGCCAGGAUGGUCUCGAACUCCUGACCUUGUGAUCCGCCCGCCUCGGCCUCCCAAAGUGCUGGGAUUACAGGCGUCAGCCACUGCGCCCGGCCACUGUCUGCUUUUAUUCAGUGCAGGCACAAUGCCGAAAACCUGGAGCUUAGAUUUGUUUCGGGGUUCUCUAUUCUUCAAAAAAAAUAAAUAAAACGGCUACCACACACACACACACACACACACACACACACACACACACUGGCAUUACCAAGUGCUGUGAGGAUGUCGAGGAAACCGAAGACUCAGACUCCACUAGUAAUAUGGAAGCAGCCAGUGGGAAAAUCUGGCAACUUCUCAUAAAACCAAACAUACUCCUUUCCUUUGACCCAUUCCUCAGUAUCUGCCCAGAGAAAU